rnacentral:misc_RNA from 1 species
GAUGAAGAACGCAGUGAAAUGCGAUAAGUAAUGUGAAUUGCAGAAUUCAGUGAAUCAUCGAAUCUUUGAACGCACAUUGCGCCCGCCAGUAUUCUGGCGGGCAUGCCUGUUCGAGCGUCAUUUCAACCAUCAAGCCCCCGGCUUGUGUUGGGGACCUGCGGCUGCCGCAGGCCCUGAAAACCAGUGGCGGGCUCGCUAGUCACUCCGAGCGUAGUAAUACAUCUCGCUCAGGGCGUGCUGCGGGUUCCGGCCGUUAAAAAGCCUUAUUUACCCAAGGUUGACCUCGGAUCAGGUAGGAAGACCCGCUGAACUUAAGCAUAUCAAUAUGCGGAGGA